CAAUAGAUCAAACAAGAAAUUAGUAUUAAAGUCUCUUACAAGAGUGUGCUCCCUAAUCCUGAAAGGGAUCGCCUCCUACAUUUAAAAAUUCGUUUACAAUAUUAAUCUUGUAGAAAAAAUUUAAUCAUAUCAAGUUCCUCUUAGCCAAAACGAUCAGAGACAUAAGGCAUUUAUAUACUACUACCUCUAAUCCAGUUUAAAUGUCUAUUAAGGUUAUGGCACACCCAUUAAGAAAACCAUUUAAUAACAAUAAUUAUAAGGGUUAUUUGACAAUGUUACACUUUAUAUCUCUUCAAGUUACCCUUUAUCGCUCCUCAGACUUUUUAUGUCAAUAUUAUUAGAGCAAGGCUAGAUUUGGAAAAAAAUAAUUAAUGUCUUCUUGGUGUCCUAAAAUGACACUUUGGCAAAAUUUUGAAAAGCUAUAACGACAUUUAAAAUGGUCCGGAGAUGGUACUAUUUCUUUGAUAUGGUAAACCUAACCCCAAACCUCGUACCCGGAGCCCGAUAGUGGCUCUUUUCUCAGGUUUCUCCAUUGGUGCAUCGAACCCAAUAUUUGUCACGUCCCAAGCUAGCCCCUAGACGUGACUGGCAUCCAGCUAACACUACCCACUAGGCGAACCAAUUCAUGUACUCUUAACCUUUUAUAUAAGCAUUGAGAGAAACACGUACUAGUCCAAACGCAUUAAAUAUUACUAAAUACGAAAUAAUUAUCCAACUAAAACCAUAAUUUAUUUAUAAAUUCUAAUGAGCACUCAAAUAAUAAAUCUCUAACCCAAAUUUCAUAUUAAGACCAUGGAUCACCUAACAGAGUAAUAGAAGUUUAAUUGACGGGCAUGCAAACCCGAACAAAAUAAUAGACAUAAGAUAGGUAGAGCUGAAAUAGCGGCCUACACGAAUAGUGCGGCGGCUCACCUCAGCAAUAGAAUCCACUCAACGAACUCGUUAGCCACUAGCCUCGUCCUCAGCAACAGUAUCUGCAUGGACAUGCAGGUAAGGAAUGAGUUAUACGUAAAUAUAACCAAGUAAGAUCUUCGACCCGCCACUUUACAUACUCCUGGAACAAGUGUUAGAAAAUACAAAUACACAACGAGCAGAGAAAUAAUAUGCAUAGAAAAUCUUUCAUCAUAUAAUUACUCCAUAAGGUCCAACCAAUUAUUCAGUAACAACAAUAUAUAUAUCUCAGCACAAUCUAUACUAAGGACUUGUCAUAAACGACAGUAAAGGAAAUUAACCGAACACCCCAACGAGUCCACGGCAGCAUACACACCCAAAUAUAUUACGGCAGCAAAGACAUAAUUUCUAACGCCCCAACGCCAUAGCACGAGGCUACGCCACGCCAAAAAUCACUUAUUAAAUAAUUUCAGCUUUUUCACAAAAUAAUACAUAUUUGCGCCUGGUCUAAGACCACCGAUUCUGCCAAGCACACGCUCAUCCCAACACAUGGACCAGGCAGACAAAACAUAUUUUCAAAACAGGUUUUGGAAAAGCAAGCAUCAAAGCUUAAAGUAUCACUUACCUCGCUAACGGGAGUGCCCCAACCUUGCAAUGUCUAAAACACCAAACAAACGGCCUCCAAUGGUUUCAAUCUAUUCAAAAAAUUGAAUAACACGUCCUCUACGUGAAAAAAUCUAACAAUUUUAGAACAAGCCAAAAUUAAAGUAAACCCUCGGCGUAAUUAAUAAAAACUUUUACGCAAUUAAAUGCCAAACGAGGGGACUGUAACGCUGCAGUCCAAGAAGAACUUCACGUGCUUGUACCAUUGUUUUCUUUCUACCAUGCAAAAUCCCAUAACUUUCAUAUAAUAGCUAAAUUCCCAAUCAUUGUUCUCAUCAUUACUUGUUCAUUACUAUAAUAAUUUCUCCACACCCUUGUCUUAAUUAUUGUUAACAUAUACAUGGUAACAAUAUUACUCAUAUUAGUUCACUACACUGCUGAAGCGUAGGAGUAUAUAUAAAUUACUUGAUUACUUAGAUUCUUUCUACCAUAGUUAAAGACAAUUAAUUGUUAUUGCCCCUAGUUUCUCAAGUCAAAUUAGCUUAAUUAUAUUACAUUAGAAUAUACCAUAUUAGCCUUGCUAUGUCAACAACAACACUUAAUCAUCCUUUAGCCACCAAUGUUCUAAGACAGUAAAGUCCAAAUAAUUCCUCCAUACACCAGUUCAGUUUGCAAUCCCACGCUACAUAAUUUUACAAGCUUACAAAUUAUUGCUAUAACAAUUGGUCAUGUAAUUAUCACCCUAAUCAUUGGCUUAUACACUUUAUUAUAACCAAAAAAAUCAAUUCAAAAGGCAUAACAAAGUUUAGUAUUACCUGAACUUUGGUUUCUUCUUAAUUUGGUGUGGAUUCCAUAGAGGAUCCUUGGCCGUCGUUCUCCAAGCCAACGUGUGCUCUUUCUUUUUUCUUUUUCUUUCUUUUUCUCAUAGUAGGGAACUUGAAUUUCCAUCUAUAUACCCUAGAGUAAGUUUACAUGACCCACUAGUAAAUUGUGGGCCUGACACACUUACAUCUUUACAAAAAAAUUAACCAGUCACUUUCUUUAAAUUCUUAAUUUGUAAACUAGCCACUUGUUAAUACACUAUCUUAUCUUGUAUACUAGCUUAGUAUUUGACUUAAUAGCUACAAAUAAAAUUAAUUCUUAAAUCUCACAAUUAAUAAUUAUAUAAAAAUAUUUCGGGUUAUUACAAUAUUAUCUUUGGAGGUGGAGGAUCUUACCUCCCUCCCUUAUCACAUCUAUAUACUACUUAUAGGAAGAGCUUUUAGGAGUUAUACAUUAACGUUGAGUAUUCAGGUACCAUGCUCCAAUCAUACCUCAUUUCCAAAAGACAAUAGUAGUCAUAUAAUCCCCAUAGUCGAAUAUCGGGUUAACACAGAAACUUGAAAUUAAGGCUAAAAGAGAAUCCUAAAAAGCAUUUCAAAGCUCUGGGUGAAUAAGGACAAAUCAAAGCACCGGUACCUGCUAUUCUAUUUUAGAAACCUAACCAUUAUGUCAAUAAGAACUACAAGCCCAAGGAAAAAUUCGACUUUUAUCCUUAACUCCUCCGCAUUUAUGUUGGUUCCACUCUAUUUCCCUUUUCUUUUUUUCCAAGUAAAUGAGACUAUGUUUCCAUUCCAUUGCAUCUAUCACAGAAAUAACACAUUUUCUUCUGUCCCUUUUUCUGCUUAAUCUCUAGGGUAAAUUAUCCAUCCACCAAAAAAUGUAAUUAAGAGGCUAUAUUUAUGAAUCUUCAAGUAAAGACAUAUUGACACUUGAAACUGCACAACCGAGAAUUUCCCAUCUGAACGAUCAGCACCUACAAUCCUAAAUGAGCAAAAUAUGUAUUUUCAUUUUUACUACUGCUAGAAAACUAAACACUCAGACCCCUAUACUACUAAGGGCAAAACUCAUCUUCUGUAAAUUAUUCUGAGUUAAGCGAGCCUCUCGGGUGACAAUCCAUCCAAAAUAGGCAACUUUGACAGGGGCCUUAGUUCUCCGGAUACUCUUCCAAGGCCAAUUUGGAACCCCCUGACCAGAAAGAUUUUGUAGCAGCUUAUAGCAAGUAUUAACAAAGAACAAAUUGUCCUUAUUAUUCACCCAAAUCAAACCAUCCUGCUUAUUUUGAUCCACUGAAAUUGACUCCAACUGUUGAAUGAGUUGACGGUAACCUUCUAUCUCCCAAUCAUUUAAGUUUCUCCUGAAUUAUAUUUGUCAUCCUGACUGAGUGAAAAUCAGAUACAAAGCCAUCCAUAUUCACAGAACAACUGAAUAAAUCUGCUUCUCAAACUAUAAUUCCCAAUCCAAGUAUCCAAAUCUUAAUUCUAUCCCAUUUCCCAUAACUUAGUAUGUUGCAAGAAUUCUUCCCACAACCCCACUAAUACCCUUCCAGGCUCCCCCUGCAACCCUCAGCUGUAUGGGACUUUGUCUCCAAUCCAGGGUCUUUUUUUAAAGAAUAUUAAUUAUUUGAAAAAAAAAUACAAGUUUUAAGGAAAGGGGCCCGUUGGAGAACAAUUAGAAAACGAAUAUAUUUUUGGGAUCCACUCCUUAUUUGCGUGUGAACAUCCCACAAUCUUGCCUCAUUUAUGCACCAUCAUUAUUAUAAAUGGGCCCACAUUUUUUUUAUCUCUUUUUAUCUUUCUCUGCUAAAAGUCUAUUAACUUUUACUUUUCUAUUGUUCCUUUGGCCUUCUCUAAAUUCCAAUCUCAUUGAGUCACUAUCACAAAAUAAAAGAGCAGAAACACAAGUACCAUCUUUUUUAUUUGUUCUCAAGUUUUUUGGCGUUACAUCAAGAAUAUUGAAGUAGCAAAAGUUUAUCAAGUUAUGUAUUUGUUGAAUCAGGUUUGAUUGUUCUAUAUCUUAUUAUUUGCAUAUAUUUUUAAAUUUUUUUUAUAUAUUUUCUUUGUAAGUAUAUAUUGUCUUUUUAGUUAUUUAUUAGAGUUUUAAUAUGUCAACUAGAAAAUAUGAAUCCGAGUUUUAAUAAACAAAUUAUUAAUAAUUUCGCAUCUCAAAAAGCUAACAAAAUAAAUUUCAAAUAAAAUUAUANNNNNNNNNNNNNNNNNNNNNUAUNUAUAAGUUUUCUUCUACAACAAAAAUCUUAGGGCCCCUCAUUGAAGUUUUGCUUUAGGCCACAAAUAUCAUUGAGCCGCCCUACUCCAAUCAACCAUCUUGUGAUAGAUAGUACCAAUGAGCCUUUUUCUAGAUUUCAUCACCACCCUUGUUGUAUCUCCACAACCAUUUAAACAAUAAGCUUUUAUUGUGCAAUCUCAAAUUCUUCACUCCCAAACCUCCCUCUUUCUUAUCAUUUGUAACCAUUUGCCAUUUAACUAAGUGAAUCUUCCUUUUAUUUGCAUUACCUUUCCAUAAGAAGUCAAUUCAUAUGGAGUUCAGCUUUUUCUCAACUGCUACAAGCAUAUAAAACAGACAUAUGGUAUAUGUUGGCAUUCCGUCCAGCACAGUACUAAUUAGAAUAAGUCUACCCCCAAACGGUAGAUGUUUCUUUCAUGGGGUUAACUUAUUUGUACAUCUAUCAAUUACUCCUUGCCAAAUACUUUUCUCUUUCUUCUUCACCUCUAGUGGCAAUCCCAGUUAUACUGUAGCGAAUUGUCCACCCCACAUCCCAAAAUAUCAGCUAAUUCUUCAAUAUAACCUUCAGCAUUAAUACUAAACAUACUUGCUAAUGUAUGGAUUACAGUACACAGAUAGGUUAUUGUCACGACCCAAAAUCUAACCAUGGUCGUGAUGGCGCCUAUCGUGUUACAAGGCAAGCAUAUUUCCCAAAAUAUUACUACUAAAUCGAUUAUAAGAAUUUUAUAAAACAAUACCAACAUUUGAAUUUCUCAUAAACUAAAUCAACUCUAAACAUAAUAUAGAAAAUACGGAAACGAGCCCCAAACAUCGGGGUGUCACUAAGUCACGAGCGUCUAAAACUAUAAACUAAGAUAUAUAAACUGCCUAACUGUCCAAAAGAAGAAAUGAUAAAAGUAGUAACAAGGUCCUGCGGACGCUAGCAGCUACCUUGCAAUCUCCACAAAUAGCCGUCUUGAACUCAACCAUCGCCGCGCUCUAACUCACCCGGAUCUGCACAUAAAGUGCAGGGUGUAGUAUGAGUGCAACCGACUCAGUAGUNNN
rnacentral:lncRNA from 1 species